GAAGAGUUGGCAAAUCCGCUCUUUAAUCUGAAGACGUGAUGUGGACUGAAAAUAAGUAGGGAAGCACGUGAACUGACUGUCAAGAAAAGCCGCUAUUGUUUGCAGGAUACCCGUACCGUAAACCGACACAGGUGGAUGAGGAGAGAAUCCUAAGGCCGACGGGAGAAGCAUUGUUAAGGAACUCGGCAAAAUGACUCCGUAACUUCGGGAGAAGGAGUGCCAGUAAGAUGGCCGCAGAGAAUUGGCCCAAGCAACUGUUUAGCAAAAACACAGGUCUAUGCAAAACCGAAAGGUGAGGUAUAUGGGCUGACGCCUGCCCGGUGCUGGAAGGUUAAGGGGAGAGGUUAGCGCAAGCGAAGCUUUGAACUUAAGCCCCAGUAAACGGCGGCCGUAACUAUAACGGUCCUAAGGUAGCGAAAUUCCUUGUCGGGUAAGUUCCGACCCGCACGAAAGGCGUAAUGAUAUGGGCACUGUCUCAACAAUGCACCCGGUGAAAUUGAAAUACCAGUGAAGAUGCUGGUUACCUGCGCCAGGACGGAAAGACCCCAUGGAGCUUUACUCCAGCUUGAUACUGGGAUUCGGUAUUGCAUGUACAGGAUAGGUGGGAGGCUAGGAAAUGGUAACGCCAGUUGCCAUGGAGUCAAUGUUGGGAUACCACCCUUGCAGUACUGGGUUUCUAACCAGCAGCCGUGAUCCGGCUGGGGGACAAUGUCAGGUGGGGAGUUUGACUGGGGCGGUCGCCUCCGAAAGGGUAUCGGAGGCGCUCAAAGGUUCCCUCAGAAUGGUUGGAAACCAUUCGAAGAGUGCAAAGGCAGAAGGGAGCUUGACUGCGACACCGACGGGUGGAGCAGGUACGAAAGUAGGACUUAGUGAUCCGGUGGUAUAAAGUGGGAUCGCCAUCGCUCAACAGAUAAAAGCUACCCUGGGAUAACAGGCUUAUCACUCCCAAGAGUUCACAUCGACGGAGUGGUUUGGCACCUCGAUGUCGGCUCAUCGCAUCCUGGGGCUGAAGUAGGUCCCAAGGGUUGGGCUGUUCGCCCAUUAAAGCGGUACGCGAGCUGGGUUCAGAACGUCGUGAGACAGUUCGGUCCCUAUCCGGCGUGGGCGUAAGAUAUUUGAGAGGAGCUGUCCUUAGUACGAGAGGACCGGGAUGGACCGGCCGCUGGUGUAUCUGUUGUCUUACCAAAGGCAUAGCAGAGUAGCCAAGCCGGGAAGGGAUAAACGCUGAAGGCAUCUAAGCGUGAAGCCCCCCUCAAGAUGAGAUAUCUCAUAACGUCAAGUUAGUAAGACCCCUUGAAGACGACGAGGUAGAUAGGGCAGAGGUGGAAGUGUGGUAACACAUGGAGCUGACUGUUACUAAUAGGUCGAGGGCGUAACU
rnacentral:rRNA from 1 species